rnacentral:rRNA from 1 species
UACAGAGGUGGCAAGCGUUGUUCGGAAUUACUGGGCGUAAAGGGCGAGUAGGUGGCCAUCUAAGUCAGACGUGAAAUCCCCCGGCUUAACCUGGGAACUGCGUCUGAUACUGGACGGCUUGAGUAUGGGAGAGGAACGUAGAAUUCCAGGUGUAGCGGUGAAAUGCGUAGAUAUCUGGAGGAAUACCAGUGGCGAAGGCGACACGCUGGGCCGUACCUGACGCUAAAGCGCGACAGCAUGGGGAGCAAACGGG